rnacentral:rRNA from 1 species
GCAAGUCGAACGGUGAAGCAGAGCUUGCUCUGUGGAUCAGUGGCGAACGGGUGAGUAACACGUGAGCAACCUGCCCCUGACUCUGGGAUAAGCGCUGGAAACGGCGUCUAAUACUGGAUAUGAGCUGCGACCGCAUGGUCAGCAGUUGGAAAGAUUUUUCGGUCUGGGAUGGGCUCACGGCCUAUCAGCUUGUUGGUGAGGUAAUGGCUCACCAAGGCGUCGACGGGUAGCCGGCCUGAGAGGGUGACCGGCCACACUGGGACUGAGACACGGCCCAGACUCCUACGGGAGGCAGCAGUGGGGAAUAUUGCACAAUGGGCGCAAGCCUGAUGCAGCAACGCCGCGUGAGGGACGACGGCCUUCGGGUUGUAAACCUCUUUUAGCAGGGAAGAAGCGAAAGUGACGGUACCUGCAGAAAAAGCGCCGGCUAACUACGUGCCAGCAGCCGCGGUAAUACGUAGGGCGCAAGCGUUAUCCGGAAUUAUUGGGCGUAAAGAGCUCGUAGGCGGUUUGUCGCGUCUGCUGUGAAAUCCCGAGGCUCAACCUCGGGUCUGCAGUGGGUACGGGCAGACUAGAGUGCGGUAGGGGAGAUUGGAAUUCCUGGUGUAGCGGUGGAAUGCGCAGAUAUCAGGAGGAACACCGAUGGCGAAGGCAGAUCUCUGGGCCGUUACUGACGCUGAGGAGCGAAAGGGUGGGGAGCAAACAGGCUUAGAUACCCUGGUAGUCCACCCCGUAAACGUUGGGAACUAGUUGUGGGGUCCAUUCCACGGAUUCCGUGACGCAGCUAACGCAUUAAGUUCCCCGCCUGGGGAGUACGGCCGCAAGGCUAAAACUCAAAGGAAUUGACGGGGACCCGCACAAGCGGCGGAGCAUGCGGAUUAAUUCGAUGCAACGCGAAGAACCUUACCAAGACUUGACAUAUACGAGAACGGGCCAGAAAUGGUCAACUCUUUGGACACUCGUAAACAGGUGGUGCAUGGUUGUCGUCAGCUCGUGUCGUGAGAUGUUGGGUUAAGUCCCGCAACGAGCGCAACCCUCGUUCUAUGUUGCCAGCACGUAAUGGUGGGAACUCAUGGGAUACUGCCGGGGUCAACUCGGAGGAAGGUGGGGAUGACGUCAAAUCAUCAUGCCCCUUAUGUCUUGGGCUUCACGCAUGCUACAAUGGCCGGUACAAAGGGCUGCAAUACCGCGAGGUGGAGCGAAUCCCAAAAAGCCGGUCCCAGUUCGGAUUGAGGUCUGCAACUCGACCUCAUGAAGUCGGAGUCGCUAGUAAUCGCAGAUCAGCAACGCUGCGGUGAAUACGUUCCCGGGUCUUGUACACACCGCCCGUCAAGUCAUGAAAGUCGGUAACACCUGAAGCCGGUGGCCUAACCCUUGUGGAGGGAG